rnacentral:rRNA from 1 species
GACGAACGCUGGCGGCGUGCUUAACACAUGCAAGUCGAACGGAAAGGCCUCUUUCGGGGGGUACUCGAGUGGCGAACGGGUGAGUAACACGUGAGUAACCUGCCCUUGACUUUGGGAUAACUUCAGGAAACUGGGGCUAAUACCGGAUAGGAGCUCCUGCUGCAUGGUGGGGGUUGGAAAGUUUCGGCGGUUGGGGAUGGACUCGCGGCUUAUCAGCUUGUUGGUGGGGUAGUGGCUUACCAAGGCUUCGACGGGUAGCCGGCCUGAGAGGGUGACCGGCCACAUUGGGACUGAGAUACGGCCCAGACUCCUACGGGAGGCAGCAGUGGGGAAUAUUGCACAAUGGGUGGAAGCCUGAUGCAGCAACGCCGUGUGCGGGAUGACGGCCUUCGGGUUGUAAACCGCUUUCGCUCAUGACGAAGCUUUGUGUGACGGUAGUGGGUAAAGAAGCACCGGCUAACUACGU